rnacentral:lncRNA from 9 species
UUCCCAGGCUAGGGGUCCAAUCAGAGCUGUAGCUGCUGCCGGCCACAGCCACAGCCACAGCCACACCAGAUUCGAGCCAUGUCUGCAACCUACACCACAGCUCAUGGCAAUGCUGGAUCCUUAACCCACUGAGCGAGGCCAGGGAUUGAACCCAUGUCCUCAUGGAUACUAGCUGGGUUCGUUACCUCUGAGCCACAACCGGAACUCCUGAAAUGGGGAAUCUUAAGAGAAAAAAUAGAAUCUAAAUUUAAAGCAUUGGGACUUCCCCAGUUAAGGAUCCAGCGUUGUCACUGCUGUGGCUUGGGUCACUGCUGUAGCAUAGGUUUGAUCUAUGACUUCGGAACUUAUGCAUGCAUGGUGCAGCCAAAAAAAGAAAAAGAAAAAGAAAAAGCAGCAAGAGACUUUAACUGUAAAAUCACAGGUGACUAAGUUGGAAAUAAACAGUAAGACAUACAAGAUCUCAUUAUUGUACUAUUCAUUCCUGCUUGCAUUUUUUUUUUUUUUUUUUGUCUUUUGUCUUUUUGUCUUUUGUUGUUGUUGUUGUUGCUAUUUCUUGGGCCGCUCCCGUGGCAUAUGGAGGUUCCCAGGCUAGGGGGAUCCAAUCAGAGCUGUAGCUGCUGGCCUACACCAGAACCACAGCAACACCAGAUCUGGGCCGCGUCUGCAACCUUCACCACGGCCCACGGCAACGGCGGAUCCCCAACCCACUGAGCAAGGCCAGGGACUGAACCCGCAACCUCGUGGUUCCUAGUCGGAUUCGUUAACCACUGAGCCACGACGGGAACUCCAACAUACUGCCAUAUUUAAAUAAUAGACAUUCAUAUAGGUGCAUAUAUAUAUUUACACGUAACCUGAAAGGACAAAUAUCAGUUUUGACACUGGCAGCCUCCAGGAAGGGAAUGGGAAUUGUGGAAAAGGCAGAGGGAGGAAGAUUGAGGACUUGUAUUUUUUUCUCCGUAUUUCUAUACUGUCUGACUUUUUCAUAGAGAGAACAUAUUCAUGUGGCGUUCUUUUGUGGUUGCAGUGGGUUAAGGGUCCAGCACUGUCACUGCAAUGGCUUGGGGUGCUGAUGUGGUGCAGGUUCAAUCCCGGGCCCCAGGAACUUCCACGUGCCAGGGGCACAGCACACACACCCCUCCCCCCAAAAAAGAAAGAAAACAAGUUCAUGUGCUGAGUAGAAAGAAUUAAACAGAAGAUCUGAUUACAAAAAAAAAAAAAAAAAAAAGAGAGAGAGAGAGAGAGAGAGAAAAUGAAGAAAAGUUACCUGCAGAAACUGCCUGCGAUCCAAGACCUGGCUCCUUGGUGCCUGGCUAAAGCCCCAACGCACAAAGAGACAACUGGGUUAAAGUUCCUGGAGAAAAGAGGAAGUGAGGUGUUUGGUAUCUGUAUCACAUCUGCCAGGCCCACAGGGUGAGACACCUGGCAGGCAGUUAGUUCCCAUUGGAAUGGGAGCUGAUCCUCUUUUCUGGCCCGCUGCUUCAGGGCUGGAGAAGUUCAACAAGUGCAUGGAACAUCAGAGACCUGGAAAUGCUGAAUUUGCUCUGAGGUUUCUUGAGGCCCUGUCGGCUUCUCUGAGUAGCCUCCAGGCUCAGGAGCCCUGCCCGGGCCCUCAAUGCCCUCCUGGCCUGUGCUUCUCAGUCUCCAGCCACCCGCUUUCUU